rnacentral:lncRNA from 1 species
AGGAACCAGAGCCAUUCAGGAACAGCUGAUGAGACUAGGAAUGAGGAAGUCGCAAAGGUUCCUCUGGGUUUCCAUUUCAAGGGGCACAAAUUGACCUUUGCCUCCUCGGCCACUUAGGCUUGCUGCUUGCUCCUUGUCCCUUCCCCCAGGGAGGGAGGAGAAGCAGUUUCACUUUUCUUGCCAGUUAUUUUCACUUUCAGACUCCCUGAGAAAGGUGAGGCAGGACUGGUGUGAUGUGUGCCCGAGUCUCAGGCACUAUCGUGAGGGUGCAGGGCCAAGGCAGGUGAUCCUGCAUGGAGACAUUCUAGGUUCAGGGACUGCCUGUGGAUCCAUGCCAAUUGCUGUGAUCAGCCAGCCCAUCCAGGAGAGAAGCUGUGACUUCCCCAAGCACACCAAGCUGUAACUCUCUGGGUCCUGUCAUUUGGGCUGAUGAGAAAGCAGCUUCCGAGGAGAGACAUGAUUCAUCCAAAGAGACGAUUCAUGUGAGAGCCAGCUUUCAGGCCAAGUAUUGAUGGGAGACAUCUGGCUGAUUGGCCAACAGCAGGUAGAGAAGGCAAGCCCAGUGAAGACAGCAUGAGGAGAGCAUCCACCUUUUGACAUUGCACACAAGCAAGGAUGACACCAUGACCAUCUUUGAAAGGGCAGAGCUGGACUUUUGCAUAACAUUAUUCAGGUUAAUGACACCUUGGUACACAUCAGUCAAUUAAAUAAUAAAUAAAAUGUAUUGACUCUUAGUCUUCAAUAACACCUCUGAGACUUGUUAAUAAUACUUGUGGAUUGAAGAUAUAUAAACAAAAUCAAUAUUUAUUGAAAAAAUGUUCAACGUUUGAGAACUUAGAUUAACCUUGUUAAUUGAUCCUAUAAAGUGUCAAAUUUUUGACUGAUUUGUUUACUUACAUGCUUGUGAAAUUCUUUGGGAUGGAUAUUGCUUCCUAAUACAAUGUUUGUAGCAC